rfam:Myotis lucifugus cont2.10969, whole genome shotgun sequence.
GAGAUACCCUUUUGGGGCAAGACUUGCUUCAGUGGGGCUUUGGUGCUCACUGCGUCUGCCCCCUGAGUGUGUCCCU